rnacentral:rRNA from 1 species
UACGUAGGUGGCAAGCGUUGUCCGGAUUUAUUGGGUUUAAAGGGUGCGUAGGCGGUCAAAUAAGUCAGUUGUGAAAUACGGCAGCUCAACUGUCGAGGUGCAAUUGAUACUGUUUGACUUGAGGCAAUGAGAGGGGUGUAGAAUUCCCGGUGUAGUGGUGGAAUGCGUAGAUAUCGGGGGGAAUACCAGUGGCGAAAGCGCCACUCUGGGCCGAAACUGACGCUGAGGAGCGAAAGCGUGGGUAGCAAACAGG